CCUACGGGAGGCAGCAGUGAGGAAUAUUGGUCAAUGGGAGAGAUCCUGAACCAGCCAAGCCGCGUGAGGGAAGACGGCCCUAUGGGUUGUAAACCUCUUUUGUCGGAGAACAAAACCCGGGACGUGUCCCGGACUGCGUGUAUCCGAAGAAACAGCAUCGGCUAACUCCGUGCCAGCAGCCGCGGUAAUACGGAGGAUGCGAGCGUUAUCCGGAUUUAUUGGGUUUAACGGGCGCGUAGGCGGUCCGUUAAGUCAGCGGUAAACUUGCGGGGCUCAACCCCGUCGAGCCGUUGAAACUGGCAGACUUGAGUGGGCGAGAAGGACGCGGAAUGCGCGGUGUAGCGGUGAAAUGCAUAGAUAUCGCGAAGAACUCCGAUUGCGAAGGCAGCGUACCGGCGCCAGACUGACGCUGAGGCACGAAAGCGUGGGGAUCGAACAGGAUUAGAUACCCCUGUAGUC
rnacentral:rRNA from 1 species